CUGAGACUCUACUGAUCGUGUCUGAAACGAAUCGAAAAGCACAAACAAACCGAAAGGUGCAAACACAUGGCUUGAAAGUUCAUGAAUCUGCUGUUCCAUACAACUGACAUAGUAUAGAACACCAAACUAUCAUCAACCCCUAAAUAAUAAACUCAUCUCAACUUCACCCCCAACCUCUAAAUAUUAAACUCUAAACCCUAAUCACUAAAUCCUAAACUUCUAAUCUUUACAUAGUAAACCCUCCCACAACCACUAAAUACUACAUCCAAACCCCUAAUUAAUAAAUUUAAACCCUAAUCAAUAAAUUUUAAACCCAAAUAUAACCUAUAACUAUUGAAAUAGUAUAGGACUUCAACCUAACUUCUAAUCCCUACGUAAUAAACCCUCCCAUACUACAGUCAAACCCCUAAUUAGUAAAUCUAAACCCUAACCAGUAAACUAUAAACCCAAAUAUAACAUAUGAAUACAAUUCAUAAAUAC
rnacentral:lncRNA from 1 species